rnacentral:rRNA from 1 species
AGUGAACGCUGGCAGUAGGCCUAACACAUGCAAGUCGAACGGCAGCACAGUAAGAGCUUGCUCUUACGGGUGGCGAGUGGCGGACGGGUGAGGAAUACAUCGGAAUCUACUUUUUCGUGGGGGAUAACGUAGGGAAACUUACGCUAAUACCGCAUACGACCUACGGGUGAAAGCAGGGGAUCUUCGGACCUUGCGCGAUUGAAUGAGCCGAUGUCGGAUUAGCUAGUUGGCGGGGUAAAGGCCCACCAAGGCGACGAUCCGUAGCUGGUCUGAGAGGAUGAUCAGCCACACUGGAACUGAGACACAGUCCAGACUCCUACGGGAGGCAGCAGUGGGGAAUAUUGGACAAUGGGCGCAAGCCUGAUCCAGCCAUACCGCGUGGGUGAAGAAGGCCUUCGGGUUGUAAAGCCCUUUUGUUGGGAAAGAAAAGCAGCAGGUUAAUACCCCGCUGUUCUGACGGUACCCAAAGAAUAAGCACCGGCUAACUUCGUG